AUGAGCGCCAUGGUCGCGUCGUCGCUCAACCCUGAGGCCCCGCUCUUCAUCCCGGCAGCGUUCCAGCAGGUGGAGGACUUCUCGCCGCAGUGGUGGGACCUCGUCAAGUCCACCGCCUGGUUUCGCGACCACUGGUACCACCAGCACCAGCAGCUCGACGAUAUGGCCGAUUCCCUCAUCGCCUUCGAGGCCGAGGACGCCAUCGACGACGACCUCUUGCACGGCUUCGCCGUCGAGGCUUCGCAGCCGCAGCCGCCAGCGGCACUCAAGACUGACGGGGUGCUCAAGGCGCUGAGCCUGGCAUCCCCAAGCCCAAAGGUCGGCGACGCCCUGCGUGUCUCCUCGGAGAAGCCUAGGUACACCGAGAAGCCCACCAAGUAG
rnacentral:rRNA from 1 species